rnacentral:lncRNA from 1 species
AUGAAAACAAUUAUAUUCUAUGAAACUGUUUUCAGACACGAAAGACACAGAGAAAUGAGGAGGAGGAAGAGGAUCACUUGGAAAUGUAACAAGUGCUUGUGUCACUCUCCAUCCUUCACUCCCCGAAGAAGGAGCUGUCAGAGAGCUAGGAUGUUGGACAGGUAAGUUUUGAUAAGUAUGAAGGGGAUGGAAAAGUUGAGUGCCUGCCACUGAAGCAAAAGCUUUGGAUCUAAACAUGUGAAAAUGAAGGGACCCAUCAGAAUAGUAAACCCAUAUGGAUUUUCCCUUUCAAAUAACCAAACUUAUAAUGACUGUUACCUUCAAUGCAGAGCAAGAAUUCGAUGGAACUCAGCUGGAUAACCCUAUCCUGAGCCCAGCUCACAUGUAAAUCAAACAAGAAGCUCCUAUUUCCCUGUGUACCACCCCACUAAGGCAAGCACUGAGAACAGGCAGAAACCCCAAACCCAGGGCUGGGCCAGGACAUAAAGUCAGGAAAACUAUUUCUCUGAACCCCUUCACCCUGCUUUAGACCUUCUCUCUUUUUGUUUUUCUCUCUUCCCUGUUAGUCCCGGAGCCCUGCAGUGGCCCCUCAUCAUGCAGGGUCUCCUCCUAGAUCUGUUCACUUAGAAAAUACCUUCAGAGCACACCUGGCCACCUUUCUGUUUCUCCCCUCCGGGGAGAAGGCAGCAAACCCACCCACAGGGACUCUUACGGAGUGACUGUGUUAAGGCUUCUAGAAAUUAUUUUAGUUGACAGAAGCUAGCUGGGGAGAGACUGAGAGGCAAAUGGAAGCCUCCAAAAUCACACUGCUUUGUAGCCUGGAACCCACUCUACCUACUGUUCAUGUCCUCUCCCUCUUUUUCUUAUAGAAAUCCAGAGAAGCCAGGUCCAUCCAGGCCAUGUGCAUAGGAGGACAGUGACAAUGUCUUCUUAGCUUUGUUCUGCAGAAUUGACCUCAAUUAUUGCAGUAAGACUCUUGUCUUGUUGUGAGCAAAUCAUCCCAGGCUGGCCUCAGAUGCUCUGGUUAGUCAUUGCUCUUCCACGGGGCUCUGUUGUGAGCCCUGGACGUACAGAUACUGACAGCAAUCGCCACAGGCUGCACUUUGCUCUGUAGCUCGGACACUUUGUUCUGACCACGCUGGGCUCUUGGCUUGGCUUCCUUUCC